GUCAUUUGUAGCUCUUCUCCCCAUCUGCUGAAGAGUCUAAAAACCUUGAUGCAGGAAAAAAAAUCAACCUCAAACCAACCAGUAAUACGCAUCCCUGAUGGCUAGCUCUCAGUCACACUGAAGACUUCACAGCAGCCACGGUUACCUGCAGACCUGUACAAGACCAGACUCUUCAAAUGCUGGCAUAAAUGGAGCAGAUGAUCUCUGACCCCAUCCCUUAUGGCACAACCAUUGUCAGUUGCUAUCUCCUAGAACGUCUCCGGCUUCCUGUGGCAGGUGCAUCUGAAGCUCCACUCCCCUCUGGGUAGCGCUGCAGUGCUGCUUCGAUGUCAAAGUCGUUCGGGAGCUGAGAGAACAGAUGUUGAAAGCCACGAGUUACUCUCAGAAUAGACACCGAAGCUGUUCUCCACCUAGUAGACUUGGAACAAACAUUCAAGAAGUAAAGCAUGUUGUUAAAAGUCAUAGUCCAGCUUCAUGGAGUUUCCAGUGCAACUGAAAUUUUUAUCACAGCAUGAGCAUCAUAUUUUAAACUAAGUAUUACCUGCUCC